rnacentral:tRNA from 1 species
UCCCUGGUGGUUCAGUGGUUAGGACUCCAUGCUUCUACUGCAGGGGGCAUGGGUUCAAGGGGUUCAACCCCUUUUCAGGGAA